UAACCUGCCCAAGAUAUCGGGAUAACACCUGGAAACAGAUGCUAAUACCGGAUAACAACAGAUGAUGCCUAUCAACUGUUUAAAAGAUGGUUCUGCUAUCACUCUUGGAUGGACCUGCGGUGCAUUAGCUAGUUGGUAGGGUAACGGCCUACCAAGGCGAUGAUGCAUAGCCGAGUUGAGAGACUGAUCGGCCACAUUGGGACUGAGACACGGCCCAAACUCCUACGGGAGGCAGCAGCC
rnacentral:rRNA from 1 species